rnacentral:rRNA from 1 species
UACGUAGGGUGCGAGCGUUAAUCGGAAUUACUGGGCGUAAAGCGUGCGCAGGCGGCUUUGCAAGACAGAUGUGAAAUCCCCGGGCUCAACCUGGGAACUGCAUUUGUGACUGCAAGGCUAGAGUACGGCAGAGGGGGAUGGAAUUCCGCGUGUAGCAGUGAAAUGCGUAGAUAUGCGGAGGAACACCAAUGGCUAAGGCAAUCCCCUGGGCCUGUACUGACGCUCAUGCACGAAAGCGUGGGGAGCAAACAGG